rnacentral:rRNA from 1 species
AUUGAACGCUGGCGGCAGGCCUAAUACAUGCAAGUCGAACGGUAACAUAAAAGAAGCUUGCUUCUUUUGAUGACGAGUGGCGGACGGGUGAGUAAUAUUUGGGAAACUACCUGAUAGAGGGGGACAACAGUUGGAAACGACUGCUAAUACCGCAUAAAGCCUGAGGGUGAAAGCAGCAAUGCGCUAUCAGAUGUGCCCAAACGGGAUUAGCUAGUAGGUGAGGUAAAGGCUCACCUAGGCGACGAUCUCUAGCUGGUCUGAGAGGAUGAUCAGCCACAUUGGGACUGAGACACGGCCCAGACUCCUACGGGAGACAGCAGUUAGGAAUAUUGGUCAAUGGGCGCAAGCCUGAACCAGCCAAGUAGCGUGAGGGAUGACUGCCCUACGGGUUGUAAACCUCUUUUGUUUGGGAAUAGUAGAAGAGGGUACCUGACGAAUAAGCCACGGCUAACUACGUG